rnacentral:lncRNA from 1 species
UGAUAUGAAAUCUCGCACAAAACUCUCGGAAGUCUCGGUUGUCGAAUUAUCGUCCAUUGUCGGUGAUAAUGGUGUGCGGUAGUCCAAACCUGAAGAUGAUAGACUUCUGGAUGAAGUCUUCCAUCUUUCGCUUGGUGAUCUGCGCCAGAGGUUCGGUUUCUACCCACUUAGUGAAGUAGUCGAUUGCGACGACUCUAAACUUUCUUUGGCCAGACACCGGAGGAAAA